rnacentral:misc_RNA from 1 species
GGAAGUAAAAGUGGUAACAAGGUUUCCGUAGGUGAACCUGCGGAAGGAUCAUUAGUGAACGCCCUCACGGGCUUAUAACUAUUCCAAACCUCUGUGAACCGUGCCCUUCGGGGCUAUUUUACAAACAUGGUGUAAUGAACGUCAUAUAUCAUAACAAAACAAAACUUUCAACAACAGAUCUCUUGGCUCUC